UGGGGAAUCUUCCGCAAUGGACGAAAGUCUGACGGAGCAACGCCGCGUGUAUGAUGAAGGUCUUCGGAUUGUAAAGUACUGUCAUUGGGGAAGAACGGUUUUCUUGAAAAGAUUGAGAAGACAUGACGGUACCCAAGGAGGAAGCCCCGGCUAACUACGUGCCAGCAGCCGCGGUAAUACGUAGGGGGCAAGCAGUUGUCCGGAAUUAUUGGGCGUAAAGGGCGCGUAGGCGGGCUUUUAAGUCCGGUGUGAAAGAUCAGGGCUCAACCCUGAGAGUGCAUCGGAAACUGGAGGCCUUGAGGACAGGGAGAGGAAAGUGGAAUUCCACGUGUAGCGGUGAAAUGCGUAGAUAUGUGGAGGAACACCAGUGGCGAAGGCGACUUUCUGGACUGUAACUGACGCUGAGGCGCGAAAGCGUGGGGAGCAAACAGGAUUAGAUACCCUGGUAGUCCACGCCGUAAACGAUGAGUGCUAGGUGUAGAGGGUAUCGACCCCUUCUGUGCCGCAGUUAACACAAUAAGCACUCCGCCUGGGGAGUACGGCCGC
rnacentral:rRNA from 1 species